CUUUGCACUGGAGAAAUGAUCUCAUUAACAAACUAGUUCUGUGCGUCCUUAACACAGGCCCCUUGCCUGCAGCUGGAGCCAGCUCUCUGUUCAGCCCCAGUGCAGAGUGACACAGACAAGCGACAGCGUCGCUGAGCGCUAACUUCUAUUCCACCGAGGCAGACAGCGAAAACCAUUUCAGAACCAUGGCAAGGCAUGAGAGAAGCACAGGUAUUUUUGUUUCAAUGAAGAAGUUUAAGAAGAAUAUAAAGGCUGAAGACUAAUGAUAUGCUAUUCUUUGUACAUGAAAAUGGCAGUCCUGACCUGCCAUAAGUCUGGGCACUUAUGGCUGUGAUAGAUUUUUCUGGGUCCGUCUGCCUUUCCUUCCAGGCACCCCAGGCUUCUCAGGACAAACAGCGUAAUCAGUGACCUCAGAACAGAGCAACGCUAAUGAGGAUGACCCUGACCCCAGGAGAAGAGUGUUCUGACCCUCUGACCCAAAUAAAAAUAGAAAAGCUUGGGCAGUACAUUUAAGAGUAACUUUGGGAUUAAUUAUAUGAGUAUAAAGAUAAAUGAGAAAAUAAAUUCUACUCACAAGUAGGAAGACUUAGAUAAUUGUGUAAUAUUUGAAACAUAAAACUUAAACUGAAAACUAUUACACUGGUAAAUUGAAUUACAUUAUCAUUCCUUUUAACUAACAUCAGAAUUACCUUUCCUUUAAUGUUUCCUUAGUUAAUAAGAACCAAAUCUUAUUAUAAUAAUUAAAGCUACUAGAAAAUGC